CCUCCUUUUCUUGGCAUAUAUGUAGUUGUUCAGUACUCAUGUGUGUAAUGUUUGGAGGUAAAGAAAAGCCAGUGCUAUGUCUUCGGUGCCAGCAUGUUUAUUGUCUGCUGGUUCUAUCCUCAAUCAUUGGAACAAGC